GAUGAACGCUGGCGGCGUGCCUAAUACAUGCAAGUCGAGCGAACGGACGAGAAGCUUGCUUCUCUGAUGUUAGCGGCGGACGGGUGAGUAACACGUGGAUAACCUACCUAUAAGACUGGGAUAACUUCGGGAAACCGGAGCUAAUACCGGAUGAUAUUUUGAACCGCAUGGUUCAAAAGUGAAAGACGGUCUUGCUGUCACUUAUAGAUGGAUCCGCGCUGCAUUAGCUAGUUGGUAAGGUAACGGCUUACCAAGGCAACGAUGCAUAGCCGACCUGAGAGGGUGAUUGGCCACACUGGAACUGAGACACGGCCCAGACUCCUACGGGAGGCAGCAGUAGGGAAUCUUCCGCAAUGGGCGAAAGCCUGACGUAGCAACGCCGCGUGAGUGAUGAAGGUCUUCGGCUCGUAAAACUCUGUUAUUAGGGAAGAACAUAUGUGUAAGUAACUGUGCACAUCUUGACGGUACCUAAUCAGAAAGCCACGGCUAACUCCGUG
rnacentral:rRNA from 1 species